rnacentral:tRNA from 1 species
AGGAAUUUAAGUUAACAUAUUCUUUAAACCUAGAGCCUUCAAAGUUCUCAAUGAAAGUG